rnacentral:rRNA from 1 species
GACGAACGCUGGCGGCGUGCUUAACACAUGCAAGUCGAACGGAAAGGCCCUGCUUUUGUGGGGUGCUCGAGUGGCGAACGGGUGAGUAACACGUGAGUAACCUGCCCCUGACUUUGGGAUAACUUCAGGAAACUGGGGCUCAUACCGGAUAGGAGCUCCUGCUGCACGGUGGGGGUUGGAAAGUUUCGGCGGUUGGGGAUGGACUCGCGGCUUAUCGGCUUGUUUGUGGGGUAGUUGCUUUCCAAGGCUUUGACGGGUAGCCGGCCUGGGAGGGUGACCGGGCACAUGGGGACUGAGGUACGGCGCAGACUCCUACGGGAGGCAGCAGUGGAGAGUAUGACGGAAUGGGCGGAAGCCUGAUGCAGCAACGCCGCGUGCGGGAUAACGGCCUUCGGGUUAUGAACCGAUUUCGCCUGUGACAAGGCGUGAGUGACGGUAAUGGGUAAAGAAGCACCGGCUAACUACGUG